rfam:Felis catus isolate Cinnamon breed Abyssinian chromosome A3, whole genome shotgun sequence.
GCAUGGGUGGCUUAGUGGGUUAAGCAUCUGACUUCAGCUCAGGUCAUGAUCACGUGGUUUGUGAGUUCAAGCCCCACAUCAGGCU